rnacentral:rRNA from 1 species
GAUGAACGCUGGCGGCGUGCCUAACACAUGCAAGUCGAGCGAUCUUCUUCGGAAGAGAGCGGCGGACGGGUGAGUAACGCGUGGGUAACCUGCCUCAUACACAUGGAUAACAUACCGAAAGGUAUGCUAAUACAAGAUGAUAUAAGAGAUUCGCAUGGAUUUCUUAUCAAAGCUCCGGCGGUAUGAGAUGGACCCGCGUCUGAUUAGCUAGUUGGUAAGGUAACGGCUUACCAAGGCGACGAUCAGUAGCCGACCUGAGAGGGUGAUCGGCCACAUUGGAACUGAGACACGGUCCAAACUCCUCGGGGAGGCAGCAGUGGGGAAUAUUGCACAAUGGGCGAAAGCCUGAUGCAGCAACGCCGCGGGAGCGAUGAAGGCCUUCGGGUCGUAAAGCUCUUUCAGGUGGGAAGAUAAUGACUGUACCACCAGAAGAAGCCCCGGCUAACUCCGUGCCAGCCGCCGCCGUAAUAC